CUCCUGUGCAAAUGCCGGUUUCAGGAAAUGGAGUUAAAACGAGCGAUUUUUGGCUUCAAAUUUGUACAGCGACUGGAGGCAGAGUCACGUUGUCCGUACAAUGUACAGUCUUUGGUUGUGAUUCUCACUAUAGCAGCAAGAGAAGGUUGGUGGACAAUUAGACUUUGAACAGAUUUUACUAAAAUGGUGACGUUAAGCCAUUAACUGUGGCUGCCUCUGACAUGCAAAUUUGGGAAAUUACAGGGGCACUGCUCCUUAAAUGAGCCGAAAAUUGCAGGAGUAUUGGUGAAAGUGUGAAAAUAGUAGUACUGGCAGACAGGUAGUUCCGCUCUGUAAAGCACCUGAUGUAUUUUACCUCCUCUCUAUUAGGUAUUAUGACUGUACUGCAGCAAAGAAUCAUGUUGCUAUGAGGCACAAGUGCUAAAAAUACAAGUGUAUAAAAAUGCAAUGUCAAACUAAAUGUGUCAUCAAUCUUUCAUCACAAAUAUAAAUCUGACUACAUUCUGAGGCAAUUAUACCUGUGUCAAAAAUGUCCAUUCAAAUUUAUCGAUAAGCACUCUUGGCUGUUUGAGUGGGUUGCUUUUGGCCACUCAAUCGUGGACAUCUUCACACCCACGCCACUUCUUUUUUUUUUUUUGUAUAUUCAGCUAUGCCAGUAUCUCAAUUACUGUGUGAGUGGGCUGGUGCAAAAAAAAAGGGGGGGAAAGUUGGCCAUAGCAACAGUCACCAUCAGCCCACACAGAAUAAUUCUAUGUGAUGAUUUAAAUCUUAUUUAAUUAUGUGUGAGCGAGCAGGUUUGCCAGCCGGGGAUGAAAGGAGCGGUGUGUUCAGAAAUACCUGGAGAAGUGGGAGCUUUUUCCAGCGAGUUGGACGUUUCAACGCGGC